AUUGAACGCUGGCGGCAGGCCUAACACAUGCAAGUCGAACGGUAACAGGAAGCAGCUUGCUUCUUUGCUGACGAGUGGCGGACGGGUGAGUAAUGUCUGGGAAACUGCCCGAUGGAGGGGGAUAACUACUGGAAACGGUAGCUAAUACCGCAUAACGUCGCAAGACCAAAGAGGGGGACCUUCGGGCCUCUUGCCAUCGGAUGUGCCCAGAUGGGAUUAGCUAGUAGGUGGGGUAACGGCUCACCUAGGCGACGAUCCCUAGCUGGUCUGAGAGGAUGACCAGCCACACUGGAACUGAGACACGGUCCAGACUCCUACGGGAGGCAGCAGUGGGGAAUAUUGCACAAUGGGCGCAAGCCUGAUGCAGCCAUGCCGCGUGUAUGAAGAAGGCCUUCGGGUUGUAAAGUACUUUCAGCGGGGAGGAAGGGAGUAAAGUUAAUACCUUUGCUCAUUGACGUUACCCGCAGAAGAAGCACCGGCUAACUCCGUG
rnacentral:rRNA from 1 species